AUUGAACGCUGGCGGAAUGCUUUACACAUGCAAGUCGAACGGCAGCACGGACUUCGGUCUGGUGGCGAGUGGCGAACGGGUGAGUAAUACAUCGGAACGUAUCCAAUAAUGGGGGAUAACUAAUCGAAAGGUUGGCUAAUACCGCAUACGUCCUACGGGAGAAAGCUAGGGACCUUCGGGCCUGGCGUUAAUGGAGCGGCCGAUAUCGGAGUAGCUAGUUGGUGAGGUAAAGGCUCACCAAGGCGACGAUCCGUAGCUGGUCUGAGAGGACGACCAGCCACACUGGAACUGGGACACGGUCCAGACUCCUACGGGAGGCAGCAGUGGGGAAUUUUGGACAAUGGGCGAAAGCCUGAUCCAGCCAUUCCGCGUGAGUGAAGAAGGCCUUCGGGUUGUAAAGCUCUUUCGCAAGAGAAGAAAACUUACCCUCUAACAUAGGGUGAGGUUGACGGUAUCUUGAUAAGAAGCACCGGCUAACUACGUGCCAGCCGCCGCAGUAA
rnacentral:rRNA from 1 species